AUGUGGGGGGCGGGAACCGGCACCGCCCCCGAGCGACCUGAGCCCCGCCCGGGCUCGCGGGUGCUGCGGGGCCGGGUCCCCCACCGCUAGCAGCGCACAGUGCAGCGGCCACCACGGUGCGCGCUCGCUCGCUCGCUCACGUGCAACAGCUCCGCAGACCCCGGCCGGGACGAGGCUCUAGAGCGCGCACCGCCCGCCUGCGCCUCCUCCUCCAGCUCGGAGCCUCGCCCGCCGCACCCGGUUUCCUUCCAGAACCAGCUUCCAAACUGGCUUGCUGGGAUGGGUCGGUCAGGUCUCUGCCGCCUCUUUCUCAGGCUAUCGGAAGAGAGGGAUGAUGGAUGUAUCUCAGGCAUCGCAGCAGGAAGGACUGGGUCAGAGGCUCCUGCUGAGCAGAGCACUCAGGCUGGAGACUCCACAGACUGCUAAGACCACUGUCCCAUCCCUGGGGAGGUGCUGGCCUGACAGGUACUGCCUGGCUUUUGAGCCGUUACAUAUAGUUACUCUUGUUACCGUGACUGGAAGUGGCAAGGCAGAUAGGACCAGCAGAGUAGAGAAGUAGGCUGGGCCGCAAUCCGGUCCCUCCUCUUGCCCUAGCCCCUUAUGCCUUCCUCUGUAGUCUCAAGGCAUAGGACACACCACUGGACUCUUGUAUGUCCUUGGUUCAGCUUUCUUUGAUGAAAAUGUUGGUGGGUUCCAGAGGGGGGCGCAUGAUUUACCACCCACAAAGUACCCCUCAGAGGUAGGGGGCCUGAACGGGUCUGCCUUUCUGAGGUCUUAGAAGGUGGGCUGGGCAGAGGUGGGGAUCAGAGGCCAUGGGGACCAGGCUGCUUUCCUCCUCCUGCAGGCUUGCCUCACAGUGUCAGAGAGACUAGAUUCAUGCAGGCAGCUGGCCCCAGGGAGGGGGUGUACCCACCGAGCUGUCUAACUCUGGAGUCGAGUGCAGACACACACACACACACACACAGGAGCAUCGUGUCCCCACAUUUGACAGACCUAUGGAUUUGGCGUGCAAGCUGUGUUGUUCGAAUGCCCGGGAGUGACGCCCCUGGGGCACCAGGCCAGAGCUGAAGUGAAACCAGAUUCCCUAGGUGUACCUAUUUCCUGACUAGGCUAGCCUGGGACAAUUUAACUUCCUUCAGUUAUCUGCUGCCUGCAAGUACCCAAGACAGUAAGGGUGGUCCUAGGGCUCCCCUCUCUGGCUGCCACCCCCGGCCCCGUCACCUCUCCACUUGACACUUGCAACAGCCAUCUUAGGCUCCUCUCCAACCUGCCUGGAAGGAACCUUCUAGCCCACACAUUUGUCUCCAGCUCCCCGAAGCCUGUGUAGUUAGAGUCUCAGCCCAAGACUGGCCCUGCCCCCCCUUCAGGCCUAGGCACAGCUGCUGCCUCUCGGCCACCUGCGUUUUAGGGGCUGCCUCCAUCUCCUCCUCAUAACUGGCUGGUUUGGGGGUGACCCACCAUCUUCAGAGUCCAUCUUCCCACCCUCAACAUAAAAUUGAUCACAGUGUCGCCUCGCCACCGUCAGCCUCUUCCUUGUUAGUGGCUCUUUCGCCCUCAGGAUGGGUCACUUGUCCUGUCUUGUCACUCCCAGAAAAUAACAAGCUCUGAGCACGUGGGUGCCCAGUACAGAUUCUCCCAAGGUCUUGAAGGGGUUUUGGAAAUGCCAUCCUAACAUAUUACACUUGGCGGUGCUGCCUCCUUUGAACUGAGGCCUGCGGAAUAUCAGGCAGGAGAGUCUUUACCCGGUGAACAAUCUGGACAGCCCUAUUUUUUAGUUUUCGACUAAAAUAGGGUCUUGCUAUUUAGCCUGGAAGUCAUAAUCCUGCUUCUGCUUCUGAAGUGCUGAGAUUACAGAUCAGAUGUGCACCACCAUGUCUAGCUUCUGUAUAGACCAAGAUAACAUUAAAUCACUACGGAGCUCCUCCGUUCACCUUCCCAAAAUUUGUAGCAUAUCCAUCCUUCUCUCCCAGGAGCCCAGAGCCCAUAUUCUUUUCUGUCACACCAAUUGUUUUGUAUUGAAACACAGGUUUUCUCCUUCCUGUUGUCAAACAAACAAACAGCAUUUUAAAAAAAGAUUUAUUUAUUAUAUGUAAGUACAUUGUAGCUGUCUUCAGGUGCUUUUUCUUCUAGUUCCAGGCCUGCUUGCUCACUGUAGCUGUCUUCAGACACCCAUCAGGGCAUCAGAUUAGCCGGGCAGUGGUGGCACACACCUGUAAUCCCAGCACUCUGAGAGACAGAGGCAGGCGGAUUUCUGAGUUCGAGGACAGCCUGGUCUACAGAGUGAGUUCCAGGACAGCUAGGGCUACACAGAGAAACCCUGUCUUGGAAAAAAACAAACAAACAAACAAACAAAAAAAGAGGGCAUCAGGUCUCAUUACAGAUGGUUGUGAACCAUCAUGUGGUUGCUGGGAUUUGAACUCAGGAGCUUUGGAAGAGCAGUGGGCACUCUUAACCACUGAGCCAUCUCUCCAGCUCCAUUGUUUGUUUGUUUUUAAAAGGUUUAUUUUCUGCGUGUGAGUACACUGAGCACUAGAAGGGAGGGCAUCAGUCAAAUGACAUUGUAGAUGACUGUGAGCCACCAUGUGGCUGCUGGGAAUUGAACUCAGAGCCUUUGGAAGAGCAGUCGGUGCUCUUACCCGCGGAGCCAUCUCUCCAGCCCUGUUUGUUUUUGAGGUAGGGUGUCUCUACAUAGCCCUGGCUAUCCUGGAUCUCAUUAUGGCCUCAGACUCAGAGACUCACCUGCCUCUGCCUCCCUGGUGUUGGGACUAAAGGCUCGCACAACCACACCUGGCAGUGUUUCUUCUCUUUUGAGAUGGAGGUCUCGUGUGCCUCAGGAUGGACUUAAACAUUCUUUGUGGCUCACAGAAGACCCUGACCUCCUGCUCCUUCUGCCGCUGCCACGUGGUUGCUGGGAAUCAAACUCAGGACCUCUGGAAGAACUACCAGUGCUCUUAACCACUGAGCCAUCUCUCCGGUACCAGUUUUUCUCCUCUUAAUCUGUCUCACAACCAAGAAAUUUUAGGAGCGCAGAGAGAUCAUUUGCCCUCGCUACAGCCUCUGGGGCCUGACAGUUGGCCGAGCUCCUCUUCAGUGCACUGUCUGCCCCGUAAGGAACUUCCUGGCUGUUUUCUAAGCAGGGAGAGGAGAAUAAGAAGGGGUGGUUCCUGCUGGGGACCCUGGUUUUGUAACCACCUGGUGACCUUUCUGAGCACUGGAUUCUUGGGUUUGUAGAACAGGAUAAAUCACGGGCUUAAGUUCGCUCAGGUGCAAGGAACUGAUCUGAUGUGCAGGGACUUGACAACCUUGCAGCCCCCACCCUUCCCUCCUCACCCUCCUUCCUCCUCUCUCUUGUCUCCGGAGCUGAGCCAGCAUCAGUCCUGACAGAGGAGACUUGAGUGGUGCUGGAGGCCACUGAAGGCCUCAGUCUUUGCAGAGAGCAGGCUGACAGAGACCACUCCAUAGCCCAGCUUCCUCGUGGGUCAUAGGUGGGUGCCCUCCACGUGGGUUCAGUCCUCUCAUCGUGGCCUGAAAGUAGACUUGGAUUGCCCUCCCUGAUUCAACCGAGCAGGGAGGAGCCUUCCCUUGGCUCUUCUCCUUCGGACCUUCCUCCCCUGGCGACCUGGUGACCUGGGUAGCCCCAGGCAGGCUGUGGGUGGAAGCUGCAACCUGCUGGGACAUGCCGAGGUGCCUGCUCCAGGGCAGGCGGCUCAGACCUGCAGGAGCCAUCCACAACUCCAGGGUGAGACUGGCCCCUGGAAGUGCAGGCUGCCCAGCUAGGACACAGAGAGAACUGGACCAGCCAGUCCAGGAGGAGCCGCCAGGCUACGUGGCCACAGCACUUUGCUCCAGUGCUGUAGAAGCUUGGUCUCCAGGCUCUUGGGUCAGAGACUUGGGCUGGGGGUCUGGCCUAGAAGGCAGUGUCGGUAGGUUCAGUCCUUCUGAGCACACUCUAGGGAGGUAAGGUGGCACUUGGUCUAUGAGGUGUCUUUACUUCAGUGCUUUUAAAAGGAAAGACAAAUAUCAGCUCAAUAAAGUGAUCUUGGGUUCUUAUGUGUCGUUCCUGACUACAAGUGAAUUUAGGCCAACCUGGGCUAUAUGAGACCCUUCCUUAAAAACAAAAUACCCUCCCCCCCCAAAAAAAACCCCAAAAGCAGCCGGGUAGUGGUGGCGUACACCUUUAAUCCCAGCACUUGGGAGGUAGAGUCAGGCAGAUUUCUGAGUUCGAGGUCAGCCUGGUCUACAGAGUGAGUUCCAGGACAGCCAG